rnacentral:rRNA from 1 species
UAGGGAAUCUUCGGCAAUGGGGGGAACCCUGACCGAGCAACGCCGCGUGAGUGAAGAAGGUUUUCGGAUCGUAAAGCUCUGUUGUUAAGGAAGAACGAGUGUGAGAAUGGAAAGUUCAUACUGUGACGGUACUUAACCAGAAAGGGACGGCUAACUACGUGCCAGCAGCCGCGGUAAUACGUAGGUGGCAAGCGUUGUCCGGAUUUAUUGGGCGUAAAGCGAGCGCAGGCGGUCAAUUAAGUCUGAUGUGAAAGCCCCCGGCUCAACCGGGGAGGGUCAUUGGAAACUGGUUGACUUGAGUGCAGAAGAGGAGAGUGGAAUUCCAUGUGUAGCGGUGAAAUGCGUAGAUAUAUGGAGGAACACCAGUGGCGAAGGCGACUCUCUGGUCUGUAACUGACGCUGAGAAGCGAAAGCGUGGGGAGCGAACAGG